rnacentral:lncRNA from 1 species
GUUUAACCUACAAGCCAAUAGGUGAUGCUUAUGAGUAAUAGCCAGCUGUGGCUAAUGUGGCUGGGUAUAUACUUGAUCCUUGCUUAUGGGGAAAAGCUUUCUCUUGCCUCAGGCAAUGGACUACUCUCUGAAGUCCACAGUGGUCUGAGCUCUCUGUUCAUCCCUGGGGGGUGGGGGGUGGGGGGUGGCAGUGGGUGUACAAAAUGGGAAGGUCCAAACCUUGCAGAUCCACUUACAGGUUCCCUGAUGGCAGGCACCAGCACCAGAACUGAGGGAGAAUCCAAUGGACAGCCACCAAGCACCCAAAGGUAUGCCUAGGCAUGGUGCUGGGAAACCUCCUCAGCCCCUAGUUCUCUGCAGGGGCAGGGUGGUGGUCUAAAUUCCCAAUUCAGGAGAGAGUGUGUGCUCCAGAUGCCUGUAGUAUAGAGGACCCCGCUUCACCAUAAUCUCUGCACAGGAAAGGUAGGGAGGCUCAGGCUGGUAAUCUAUGCAUACAGGUUCUCUAACUGCUUGGAGAUACAUAUGGGCAUGGUCUGGAGAGGACCCUGCUUCACCACAAUCUCUGCACAAGAAGGGUAGGGCAGCUUAGGCUGCUGAUCUGGGUGAAUGGGUGUUCUGGCUGCCUAGAGAUCUACCUGGGUGGUAUCUGAGGAGGCCCUACUGCACAACAGUCUAUGCACAGGAAGGAUAGGGUGGCACAGCCUGCUGGUCUAGGUGAGUGGGUACUCUGAAUGCCUAGACAUAUGCCUGGGGAUGUGGCAGAGAAGGCCCUAUUGUAUCAUGAUCUAUACCCAGGAAGCAUGGGGCAACUCAGGCUGCUAGUCCAGGCAUUCAGAGCACAUGCUUG